CACGUAGGGCGCAAGCGUUUGUCCGGAAUUAUUGGGCGUAAAGAGCUCGUAGGCGGUCUGUUGCGUCCGCUGUGAAAACUCGGGGCUUAACCCCGAGCCUGCAGUGGAUACGGGCAGACUAGAGGUAGGUAGGGGAGAAUGGAAUUCCCGGUGUAGCGGUGAAAUGCGCAGAUAUCGGGAGGAACACCGGUGGCGAAGGCAGCCCCCUGGGCUGACACUGACGCUCAGGCACGAAAGCGUGGGGAGCAAACAGG
rnacentral:rRNA from 1 species